GACGACGCUGGCGGCGUGCCUAACACAUGCAAGUCGAGCGGGGUUGAAGCGAGGGGUAACUCGAGUUUCUACCUAGCGGCGGACGGGUGAGUAACGCGUGGGCAACCUGCCUCAAGGACUGGGAUAACAGCUCGAAAGGGCUGCUAAUACCGGAUAUGCCUGUGGCCUCGCAUGGGGCUAUGAGCAAAGGGGAAACCCGCCUUGAGAUGGGCCCGCGUCCCAUCAGCUAGUUGGUGAGGUGAAGGCUCACCAAGGCGACGACGGGUAGCCGGCCUGAGAGGGUGACCGGCCACACUGGGACUGAGACACUGCCCAGACUCCUUCGGGAGGCUGCAGUCGAGGAUUUUUUGCAAUGCGCGCAAGCGUGACAGAGCGACGUCGCGUGGACGAUGAAGGCCUUCGGGUUGUAAAGUCCAAUCUCGGGGAAAGAAGAGCCGGAGGUUAACAGCCUGCCGGCUUGACGUUACUCCGGUUGAAGCGCCGGCUAAACUCGUG
rnacentral:rRNA from 1 species